rnacentral:rRNA from 1 species
GAUGAACGCUGACAGAAUGCUUAACACAUGCAAGUCAACUUGAAUUUGGGUUUUUAACUUAGAUUUGGGUGGCGGACGGGUGAGUAACGCGUAAAGAACUUGCCUCACAGCUAGGGACAACAUUUAGAAAUGAAUGCUAAUACCUGAUAUUAUGAUUUUAAGGCAUCUUAGAAUUAUGAAAGCUAUAAGCACUGUGAGAGAGCUUUGCGUCCCAUUAGCUAGUUGGAGAGGUAACAGCUCACCAAGGCGAUGAUGGGUAGCCGGCCUGAGAGGGUGAACGGCCACAAGGGGACUGAGACACGGCCCUUACUCCUACGGGAGGCAGCAGUGGGGAAUAUUGGACAAUGGACCGAGAGUCUGAUCCAGCAAUUCUGUGUGCACGAUGAAGUUUUUCGGAAUGUAAAGUGCUUUCAGUUGGGAAGAAAAAAAUGACGGUACCAACAGAAGAAGUGACGGCUAAAUACGUGCCAGCAGCCGCGGUAAUACGUAUGUCACGAGCGUUAUCCGGAUUUAUUGGGCGUAAAGCGCGUCUAGGUGGUUAUAUAAGUCUGAUGUGAAAAUGCAGGGCUCAACUCUGUAUUGCGUUGGAAACUGUAUAACUAGAGUACUGGAGAGGUAAGCGGAACUACAAGUGUAGAGGUGAAAUUCGUAGAUAUUUGUAGGAAUGCCGAUGGGGAAGCCAGCUUACUGGACAGAUACUGACGCUAAAGCGCGAAAGCGUGGGUAGCAAACAGG